rnacentral:rRNA from 1 species
UACGAACUGUGCGAACGUUAUUCGGAAUCACUGGGCUUACAGGGUGCGUAGGCGGCUAUUCAGGUCAGGGGUGAAAUCCCACGGCUCAACCGUGGAAGUGCCUCUGAUACUGCGGGCCUCGAGGGGGGUAGGGGCGUGCGGAACUUCCGGUGGAGCGGUGAAAUGCGUAGAUAUCGGAAGGAACACCGGUGGCGAAAGCGGCGCGCUGGACCCCUUCUGACGCUGAGGCGCGAAAGCCAGGGGAGCAAACGGG